UUUUUUUCUUUCAGCUACAACAUUGUUGUCUUUGGAGGCAUUGAUGGUUUUUCCCAUAAGAUCAUGUAUCUUGGAGCAGCCUCCUACUUGCAUCAACUACCCUGGCAUUCUUCCAUGAAUCUGUUGAGAAGUUUGGCUGUCCUCUCAGUACCAAUGUUGUGUGGGCCGCCCGAAGAGGAGGUACUGCUGGCUCACCACCAGAGGGCGCCCUGCCUGUUGUCGGGUUUCCGGCACUAGAGGGCACAGUUGCCUGAGGGGAUCACCAGGUGCACCGGAGCUGUCACCUGUCACUCAUCACAUCUCAUCACACCACUCCAUAAAAGCCUGGGAGAGACACCAUAACUCUGCCGAGUUAUCAGCUUACCCUACAGUACCGGAUCUGACAGCUGGAAGCGGUGGCCACCUGGGGACUCAGGACUUGGCGGCUCUGGUGUAUUGCAGGUCUCCGUUGGCAGUGGAACAUCGUGGGUCCCGGCUCUUCUCUGGAUAGGCGUCUCCUACCCUCGGGCCUGCCCACGCGCCAUUUUGGUUUUCUUGAUUGACAGACUAUAGCAUUUUUGAACUGUUGUGCACAUUUGCAGGAAUAAAUUGUGUUUAUUGGAAUCUCUAUUGGCCAUUCAUUUAUGCCCCCUCGUGUGGGUCCGUGCAUUUCACUUUCCCCAACAGGAUAACUCAGCCACGUCAUGGAUUCUGAGGGGCACAU